CUCAUUAGAACCCUGUGCUUUUUAUUCUUCCGUCUGUGCUUAGGUGAACAGUAGCUAAGUGGACACAGCUGCUUAAAAUUCAGGACAUAAAUAUCUCCUCAGAGAACGAUUCAGACAACAGGAGAGAGAACCAAGAGUUGAAGGCCAGACAUGGCCUGGUCUUCAAUGUGUCUUAAAGAGCCCAAGGACCACAGCCCCCGAGGGAGCCAUGUCUAGCCAAGCAGUUACGCUUCAUCAAGUUUUUGUUCUCCUUGGAAACCGCCAGAACUCCACCCACUAGAGCAAAAUGAAUCUGGUACAGGGCCACAGGCAUCCACCUCGGAGGUAGCUGCCAGCGCUGAGCUGGGGGCAGCCAACUGGACCACACAGUUCCGGGCUCACAGCCUGCCGGCUGGUUCAUACCCACUGGGCUUCAGCAUAAGAAGGG
ensembl:lncRNA